rnacentral:rRNA from 1 species
UCGAUAACGAACGAGACCUUAACCUGCUAAAUAGCUACAUUAUGUUUUACAUGAUGGUCAGCUUGUUAGAGGGAUUUCCAGUGUCUAACUGGCGGAAGUUUGAGGCAAUAACAGGUCUGUGACACCUUUAGAUGUUCCGGGCCGCACGCGGGCUACACUGAUGAAGUCAGCGAGUUAAUAUUUUUAUUUUUUUCCUUGUCCGGAAGGUCUGGGUAAUCUUGUGAAACUUCGUCGUGCUGGGGAUAGUCCUUUGCAAUUUUCUCUGGAACGAGGAAUUCCUAGUAAGCGCGAGUCAUCAGCUUGCGUUGAUUACGUCCCUGCCCAUACACUUCUUAGUGCGC